rnacentral:misc_RNA from 1 species
GUGACCUCGCGCGCGACCACGCCGAGUUUGGGCCGUCCCGGUCCGCGCGGCGCAGUUUCCGCUGCCGUCUCAUCGGCCUGAACCGGCAUCCGGCGUGCAACCCGCUUCUGCACGUCGGCCAGCGAUCCGCGCAAAUCGAUUUCGGCAGGCCGGCUGGUUGCCGCGUCGAAAAUCAUGAACUGGGCGGCGCCGUUUUUUUCGAGCGCCUGCUUGGUCUUUGUUGCGACAAGGUGAGGGUCGCCCAGG